rnacentral:rRNA from 1 species
UGCCAGCCGCCGCGGUAAUACGGAGGGUGCAAGCGUUGUUCGGAAUUAUUGGGCGUAAAGCGUGCGUAGGCGGACUAUUAAGUCUGGGGUGAAAUCCUACCGCUCAACGGUAGAACUGCCUUUGAUACUGGCAAACUUGAGUUAUUGUGAAGUAGUUAGAAUGUGUAGUGUAGCGGUGAAAUGCAUAGAUAUUACACAGAAUACCAAUUGCGAAGGCAGAUUACUAACAAUUAACUGACGCUGAGGGACGAAAGCGUGGGUAGCGAACAGGAUUAGAUA